GGCCAGUUAGCUCAGUUGGUUAGAGUGUGGUGCUAAUAACGCCAAGGUCACAGGUUCGAUCCCUGUACGGGCCA
rnacentral:tRNA from 1 species